GAGUACUCACUUCUGCACCAGUAUACUGAAAUUGGAACAAUGCAGAGAAGAUUAGCAUGGAUCCUAUGCAAGAAUGACAGGAAAAUUCAUGAAGUAUUGCAUACUUUU